rnacentral:rRNA from 1 species
UAGGGAAUAUUGGGCAAUGGAAGCAAUUCUGACCCAGCCAUGCCGCAUGAAGGAAUACAGCCCUAUGGGUUUUAAACUUCUUUUAUUAUAGAGUAACCGGAGGUACGUGUACCUCCCUGCCAGUAUAUGAUGAAUAAGGAUCGGCUAACUCCGUGCCAGCAGCCGCGGUAAUACGGAGGAUCCAAGCGUUAUCCGGAUUUAUUGGGUUUAAAGGGUGCGCAGGCGGAUCAAUAAGUAAGGGGUGAAAAAUUUCAGCUUAACUUGAAUCGUGCCUUUGAUACUGUUGGACUAGAGUAUAAUUGACGUGACUGGAAUGUGAUGUGUAGCGGUGAAAUGCUUAGAUAUGUCACAGAACGCCAAGCGUGAAGACAGGUCACGAAAUUAUUACUGACGCUCAUGCACGAAAGCGUGGGGAUCAAACA